rnacentral:lncRNA from 1 species
AUCUCUUAAAUUACAGUUUAUAGCUAAAGAGUACAAACUAUUGUAAAAGUUUUCUCCCAUUUGUAAGUAAUUACACAUAUAAAGUAUCUCCCCAUUCAGAAGAUCUUAUAUUUCUUUCAGAAUAAACUUUCUUUACCACGUGGCACAAAUAGUUAAUUUACCUUUUUUUUCUGUCUCUGUCUUCUACGUCCUAGGCUAUUUCAGUUUUCUCACAAGUAGCCAUUAUUUUCAAUGAACUACCAAA